UACGGGGGGGGCAAGCGUUGUUCGGAAUUACUGGGCGUAAAGGGCUUGUAGGCGGCCAACUAAGUCAGACGUGAAAUCCCUCGGCUUAACCGGGGAACUGCGUCUGAUACUGGAUGGCUCGAGUUUGGGAGAGGGAUGCGGAAUUCCAGGUGUAGCGGUGAAAUGCGUAGAUAUCUGGAGGAACACCGGUGGCGAAGGCGGCAUCCUGGACCAACACUGACACUGAAAAGCGAAAGCCAGGGGAGCAAACGGG
rnacentral:rRNA from 1 species